GCUAGUGUCACGAACAUUUCAUUUUGUUUAGCCGUUGCCGCAUCUCAAAAUUAUUAGGUUUAAAGUUUAGUUAAAGUUAAGCCGUACCAGCUUUGACUAAAUAUUUAAGAAAAAAUACAGUAUCAACAUCUACAUAUUAAAUUGACACAUGGAGAAAAUAUAUUUUAUGGUGAAUCUAUUAAUAUGUAUUGAUUUCAUAUUGUAGAUGUUUAUAUUUUUAUGUAUAAACCUUGUUAAAUUUAGAAGAUAUUGAUUUUUAACUAAACUUAUAUGCCUUAUAAUUUAGGAUAGAGGGAUUAUAGAGGGAAUUUUCUAGACCGAAAGGCUCCUGGACUUGGCACGAAAGCAAAUGGGAAAGCUUCAAUGCGAGUUGGGUUGGGGUGCACUAACACCCACGAUUCUGCAGGAAAUCGAUAUGGUGAGUCAUCGAGACAAACCCACCAAGCAGCGUUGUGAAUAUAUUUGGGACUCGGCUAAGUGACGUGGAUCAUAGAUUUAAACUACUUAUCAAGGUUAUCGAUGCACAGCUACACCGCUUUCAUGGUUGCCUCUAGAGUGUGUGGAGCAUCGCGACCUAUAUAUAGAGUUGUCUACACUAUUGGAGAACACGGCGAGGGAUAUUUUUAUCCAAAAUGGAUGGCAGUGCAAUUUACGGAUUGGCCCUCGGUCUCCUUAGGCGCCUCUGCCAUUUUUGAUGAAUAGUUGUAUUUUGUUUUUUAUAUUUUUUUGAUUGAUGUAUUUUUUUUUUUUUUGGAUUUGAGCGGCUGUAUGCAUCCUAGCUAUCCAGAGAUCAUCUGCAAUGCUUAAA